rnacentral:lncRNA from 1 species
AUGACAUCAAGAUUGGAAUGUUUGGAAUCAUCAGCUCUUUUAGUUUCACUGAAGGCAGAUCCUGGAAGACUGCAGCAGAGUUCCACUGUUGCCGAGGAGACAGCUGUCAAUCAUCAGCAGCUGCUGGAACGCUCCAUUGAGACGCUUCAGGGGGAGCUCAGCUGUGCUGUGAAAGAUGGAGAGACCCUGAGAGAAGAGAGACAUCAGAUAAAGAGGAAGGUGGAGAUGACCACGGUGAACUCAGCACUGCAGAAACAGAAGGAGGACAACAAGGAGCUGAUGGAGAGCCUGGCAGCCUUCAGCAUCAGCAGGCACAAGUGCAACAGAUGGCCACUGAAUGUACCCAACACUGAGCAACACUGCACUGCAGAACACUUACACACAGCACCUGGAAGAGAGUUUGAAACGGCUCCAGGAUGAGGCAGAAGUGAGACUCAGGGAAGUUUAUCUGGAGUCACAGCAGGACAUUGUCUUUUGGGUUUUCUCUCGGGAUCGCCGGUGACCCGCUGUGUGGAAACACUGAGCCAUGCGACAGUUGAAGGGCAAGCCGAAGAAGGAGUCGUGGAAGGACAAAAAGGAGCGCAAACAGGCCAUGCAUGAGGCGCGGGAGCAGGUGACAACCAUCGUUCUUCCGACACUCGUCUUCCUCGUGCUGCUCAUCGUCCUCUUAGUCUACGUGGCGACGAGACCCGGAGCCAUCGAGGAGACAGACUCCAAAUAGCCAAAUGUCCUCUGCCCUUGUCUUUCUCUUACAUUUCCCCUUGUUCCUUCCCAAUGCCAACUCCCCAAUGGACUCAAUCAUAAGGAUGAAUGGAUUGAUAAAGUAGUGGUUUUCUGUGCCAUGUUUGGAGUAUGUUGAAGGAGUCUUCCAUUUGGGCUUCUGACAGAGCACCUCUCCCAGCCACCAGCAUUCGUAUCUGUGGCGGCCAUGUUGGCUCCAAAUGCAUUUACAGGGUUCUAGUUUCAUGCCAAAGCACCUGAGAUACAGCAGACUCAGACUGACCCAGGAACCGGGCCAGAUCUGAUGCCUCUGUGCUCAAAGUCAGUACAAACGAAAAGUGAUUGUAGUAUUGCACAUGUCUGUAGCAUGCAAAUUUAUGCAUACACACACACACACACACACAAAUGAACAUUUAUGGGUUCACAUGAAACCAUUAAUGACAGAAUUGUAUGUUACCUAAAAUGUAUACUUCUUAUUGCUCACUACCAAAUGCCUCUUAACAAGCAGUUGCUGAUGUUUUUUGUUAAUGUGUGUGUGUGUGAGAGCAUAUGCACAUUGAAGUGAAUGUUCCUAUGACACAUCUGUGAUAUACAAUCCCAGCUGCAAAUGUACUCUUAUUUUAAAAUGUAUUCCAGCAGGACUUGGAUCUAAAAAUGUGCCUUAACUUUUAAUAACAUAACAGGAUUUAAAGUAUUAAUAAAGAAGUAGAAAGUCAUGCCGACUGGUUUUAAUAAGACUGUGUUUGGAACUUUCAAGUUUUUCCUCCCAUCUGUCUCUUACGAAAGUAUUUAAUUAUUUUGGGAGCUUUGCUUUUGCUGACAAAACGUUGUGAUUUCUUGCUUAAAUUAUUGCAUUUUCUUGAGAAACUUUACAUGCACAAGCACUGAAAUGUAGUUUAUCCGCAAAAGCUUUGUGUGCGCAUUCAUUGAAAUACAAUUUCUCCUCGCGUGUCCUCUCACAAAAGUAUUUGUAUUCCCCUGAAGAACUUUGCAUUCGCUUACACAAGCAUUCAAAUAUAGUUUUUCAACACAAAUGUUUUAUGAGAGAAUGCACUGACUGAAAUAUAACUUUCUUCCAAUCUUUCAUGCAAAAAGUAUUUAGUUCCCCUGAGAAAUAUUGCAUUGGCUUGCAAAACUUUUUGUGCUCUCUCACAAAGUAAGGCAUUUUCUCGUAAAGCUUUGCAUUAGCUCACAAAAGCAUUGAAAUAUAGUGUUUUUCUCCUACUUCAUAUUAGCCAAAGGACUUAAAGUUACUUUUUACACUAGACAAACUACACACUUUCCCUGCCUGCCAGAAGAUUACUUUCCAAAUUUAUUAACGAUUCACAAAAAAAGAAAAAGAAAAAAAAAGGAUAAAUUAAGCAGCUGGCCCAGUAAUCAAGAGUAAGUUUCAGAGAAAGCAUCAAACACUGUAGUGCAUAUAUAUAUAUAUUUUUUUUCUAACAUACAUAUGAUUGAUAUUCGUGACUUUUUUUAUUGGAAUUCUAAAACAUUCAUUAUAGAACUUUAUUAAAACUCCAUAAGGAGACAGGUAAAAGAAAAGAAAAAUCAGCUACUAGUGAAACUAAAUAUAAUAUAGGAUAUAAAUAUUCCCAUUGUGUUGGUUGGGUAAAAAUGUCAUAAUUAAAAAAGUAGCCUGCAUUAUGGUGUAGUUGGUAACUGCUAAAACUAACCAGUCAAACGCGACUCUUGUCCGGGCGGCUGUAUUAGUGUCGCGGCUCCUUUAAGGAUUUGCUCCGUCAUUACCGCGGUGACGUUGCGCGCAUAGUUUGUGUGUGACUGUGGGAUCCUGUGAUGAUUUCCAUCGUGCGAGUCUGUUUCAUUCGCUGUCAUCCACUACAAAUCUCAAACCCAGGACUCAUAUUCAAGGAUGGCAUGUCAUCACUUUACGCCUGAGUAAUCUGAUCGCGCGGGUUGUUCGCUGCGGAUAGCGGAUCCGGAUCCAGCACAGGGCCGGUGAUGGUCGCGCGUCAAGCCGGAGAGAGCAACAGAGGAGCGGCUGUGAUUUCUGCGCUCCGUCGGUAACAUCCUCCACUUCCAUCACGCUAUACAGCAUUAACAUUUAGCUCCUUAUACUGUUUUAUUUUUAAAAUGUAAAGUUGUUGUUUAGCUAUUUUGAUUGAGAGUUUAUAUUCAAUGAUAGGGUUCAAAUAUAUAUAAAGAUUUACAAAAUAUAUAUAUAUAUAAGUAUAGGGAUUUUAGUAAACCCUUUUUUCUAAUUAAUAUAUUCCGU